AUUUCAAGCGAGAAAUAAUGAAAUGAAAUUUAAAAAAUAAUUCAAAAACCCGAAAUAGAAAUGGAAAUGCCAACUUUGAUCUCUGUCGCCGAGGCGAACCCUACCGCCUUUCAUGGGUACUACGGUUAAGUAACAACGGAGAACAGUCGCAGAAGAUCAAUCGUCUUACUUCCGUAAACAUUUAAAUUUAUUUUAACUUUCUUGAAAUAUAAUUCUUAAAAUCUCUGGAAUUUAACGAUUAUUGUUCAACAGAACUUAAUGCACUUAACUAUUUAAAUUUUUUCCUUCAGAUUUUUUGAAAAAUUUUGUCUUUGCCGCUUGAUUUCGCUUCGGUAUUUAAUUCGGUUUGGCAACAUGACAGCAUUGCCAACUUAGCCUUUUGGCCCCUAUGGCUCCUCCUUCUUCCUCCCCGCCAAAAAAAAUGUCAGCAGUCAGUCAGCAGUCACAGCCUUUGCGUUAGUUAUGGAGCAGCAUUGGAAGAUAUCUUGUUGUGUUAACUUUUAUAUCGAGACGAAGGCUAUGAAUGUUGAAUGCUUCACCAGCUUCAAUCAGCUAUUUUUGUGCUUUGAAUGAUAAAUGGUAAAUUACAUUAAUCUCAACUAAUUUUUACAGAAUGUGUGGGGCCUAGACUAGAUCAAUCCAUUUCACCAUGUGAAGCAGUGCAGGUAUAAAAAGUAGCUGACAUCAUGUGACAUGUUUCUGCAAUGAUGAUAGUUCAUUCUGAAUAGCACAAUGUUGUGUGGUGAUUCAACAUUAGUCAUGCAGGACUCUGAUUUAAAUAGUGAUUCAAAAUUGCUCAUCGGUUCAGCAUGAUGACUGGAUUAUUACAGUAGUGCUACAGUCUGGAUGGGAUUCAACUUGUGGAAUUACAGUUGUGAAUUUUGUUCCAAGGCUAUCCUGCUGGCUAGGGAGGAAGUGAAAUCAACUGUUUUGGAUGUAAUUACGAGUUCCUUAUUCAUUCUGUGCCCUAUAACUAGUGUUUGAUGGCCAGUCACCCUGUAUGGAUGACUUUCAACUGUAACAUCUGUCAACAUCUAUGGAAAUCACUUUAGGAUUGUAUUUUCUUCUAAAUGUGAGGUUUAAUUUGUGGUUGUGCUAAAUUUUCUCUCUCGUAGGUUGUUUUCCUGAUUGACCCAUUCAUGUCAGCUCUUUACGUUUUGUUUCUCUUCCGUUCACCACCAACAUAAUCAGCUGGAA